rnacentral:rRNA from 1 species
UGGACGCUUUUUUCUCACCGAAGCUUGCUUCACCGAGAAAGAAGAGUCGCGAACGGGUGAGUAACGCGUAGGUAACCUGCCUCAUAGCGGGGGAUAACUAUUGGAAACGAUAGCUAAUACCGCAUAACAGUAUUUACCGCAUGGUAGAUGCUUAAAAGGAGCAACUGCUUCACUAUGAGAUGGACCUGCGUUGUAUUAGCUAGUUGGUGAGGUAACGGCUCACCAAGGCUUCGAUACAUAGCCGACCUGAGAGGGUGAUCGGCCACACUGGGACUGAGACACGGCCCAGACUCCUACGGGAGGCAGCAGUAGGGAAUCUUCGGCAAUGGGGGCAACCCUGACCGAGCAACGCCGCGUGAGUGAAGAAGGUUUUCGGAUCGUAAAGCUCUGUUGUAAGAGAAGAACUGUGAGAAGAGUGGAAAGUUUCUCACUUGACGGUAACUUACCAGAAAGGGACGGCUAACUACGUGCCAGCAGCCGCGGUAAUACGUAGGUCCCGAGCGUUGUCCGGAUUUAUUGGGCGUAAAGCGAGCGCAGGCGGUUUGAUAAGUCUGAAGUAAAAGGCUGUGGCUUAACCAUAGUACGCUUUGGAAACUGUCAAACUUGAGUGCAGAAGGGGAGAGUGGAAUUCCAUGUGUAGCGGUGAAAUGCGUAGAUAUAUGGAGGAACACCCGGUGGCGAAAG